UUACGGCUAUAUCAUGUUGACACACUGCUUCUCGUACGAUCACCGGUUAAGCAACGUCGAUUCUGGUCAGUACUUAGAUGGGUGACCGUUUCGGAAUACCAGGUACUGUAGG